UCGUUUCUAACGUUCACCAAUGGUAGAUAACAUCCGCCCCAUCCGCUGGUCCCAUUGGUUCAGCAGCUGUCUAUCUCUCCUGCGACUUCUGACCCCGAGGCAUUUCCGCUGGUAACCGCACAAGUCCCGCCUUCACUCCCGGCCCUAGGGGGUCGGAGUAGGUCCAGCAGGAGUGACCCCCCGGGGCUGUGGGAUCUGAAACUUUUUCUUCUCUACUGCUUGUUCUCCCUUCCUCCAUCCCUCACCCCGAAGCGGGAAGCAGCUUUCUCUUCCCAGCUUCCAUCCAGUCUCUGAGUAGACCAGUCGCAGCUUAGAUGCUGGGAUCGCCUCAGAACACAUUUCUUUGCCCUUCACGGCCACUACCGGUAUUGGGGUAUGCGAGUCUCAGGGCCGUUCGUUGCUCACAGGUCGAGCUGGUCUGGACUCUGUUCGACCACGAAUCAUGACUCCUUCCUGCCAGUUAUGUCCCCUCCGCACCCUUGCCCAGCCAUUUUACCAGGCCUCUCCACAUUGCGCUGCCCCACGGACCUUAUCAAGCUUGAAGAUCUUUAAAAAGAAAAGUAAAAGUAAUGCAAGAGAACAAAAAGAUUGUCAGUGAAAGAUAUAUAAUUGCAUUAAGAUGUGGCCCUAAUCUUUCCACAGUCAAGCGUGUACUACUAUUUCACAGCAUUUUCCUUUCCAAACUGUGUGCCAAAUAAAUCGGGGUCUCCAACCCCAGAGCCGUGAACUGGUACCCGUCUGUGGCUUGUUAGGAAUGGAGCAGCACAGGAUGAAGUGAGUGGUGGGUAAGUGAGCAUUACCACCUGAGCUCUGCCUCCUGUCAGAUCAGCAAUGGCAUUAGAUUAUCAUAGGAGUGCGAACCCUAUUGUGAACUGCGUAUGCAAGGGGUCUAGGUUGUCCACUCCUUAUGGGAAUCUAAUGCCUAAUUAUCUGAGGUGUAACAAUUUCAUCCCGAAACCAUCCCCCCGACCUCCUCCACCCCCUACCACCAUUUCCUGGAAAAACUGUCUUCCACAAAACCAGUCCCUGGUGCCAAAAAGGUUAGGGACUGCUGAAAUAAAAUCAUGUCAUAGG
rnacentral:lncRNA from 10 species